UGCAACCCAUUAGCAUUAGCAUAAAGACAGUGAAUGACUGCUGCAGUCUGAGAGCACUUAGCUCUGAGGGUGGCAAAUCCUAAAAUCCUGUAUGCAUCAGCAGUCUGGCAAGGGCCAUGUGCAAUCACAGUGUGGAGUGAACAGGACAGGACUGCAAUCAAUGGAGACUUCUACUAGUGUUUUACUGGGGGUUCCCCCAGGCACACGUCAUUCCAGAGGGGUUCCCACCAUCUCAAGGGAACCCCCCAGUCUGAGGCCCCCUGGACUGACAGCUCCCGGCUUUAUACGCAAUUACGCUUUCAACUAUGCGGCAAUGAGCAGCUCACACAGGAAUCCAUGGAACCGAGCUCGCAAGGCCUGCUCAAUCAAACAACGCAAGAUCACCGAACACAUAUGAGGCGCCAAGAGGUUACGCGAUUAGCCGUGGUCCAAGAAUUACCACAAAGGGAGCCACAUAUCCAACAACGAACUCUGCAGAGCAACUUCCGUAAGUCCCACGAGGCAAGCGACCUGUGACUAGGAUCCGGCUGUGUGCCUUGGAAGUGGAUGAAAGGGCAAGCGCUUCCCCUUUUCCCACAACAACUCCUACAGAUUUCACCCUGAAAACCAGAAUGCAUUCCAACAACUGAACCAAUUCAGCGAACUCAAGUAAAGCUGUAACAUUAGACAUAUAGCUUAAUUUUCGCAACUUUUCUGACUGAAUAAGCAUAACUGUGUAAAUGGUUAAUGUGUUGAAUGGUUACUGUAAAUGUUUGGUGUUUUACCAUUUUCAUUUGCUUUCCUCUAAGUCAUCCACCGAGCUGUCUUAGUUUUAACAUACAUUACACACAGAAAAGCUUGCAUGCGAUCUUGCGAUUGGUAUUAACACACCGAUCUUUCAUCUGUUUGGCACACAUCACACGCCAUUAUCACUAGCUCCAGCUAGUUUCAAAUCUCCCUCCAAUUAAACUUCUUUGUUCUCCUGGAACCCAUGUCUGCAGUGCGCACACCAUGUUGCACAACCCCACGCACAGGAGUAGAACAUACAAGACUCCUUACUUGCUUGUGCGCAUGCACGCCCAGUGUUAACACACUCAGUUUACCGUACAUUAUAGCAGUGAAUUAUGCUUUGCCCUUUUCAUUAAUUUUUGUUCAAUAAAAUGUAUUAUGUUUUA